GGGGGCGUAAAUGGUUUCGACGGGGGCAUUUGUGAGGCCGAUAAGCAAGCCGCAGUUUCAGAAGUUCUGCGUUAAAAAAUCUGACUUAAAUACAAAUGCUAAAACAAACAAAACUGCAGAGGUGGGUUCUCCCGCUCUGCUCGCUGCUUAAUUAAAUAGCAGCCUUCCGACCUCUCUUUUCCUGUUUGGGAGAGAAUCGGGAGCAAAUUUAAAACAGGGUACUAUAUUGCCAAAGCUUUGCGGCAAUACGGAUUUUAUGAAGCUACCUCUUACGGUUUUUGUGGCUGGGGGCCUAAAAGAGGGAAUUUAACAAAAGCCAAUAAGCUUGUAGAAAGUCGGUCGGGCAGGCUUUCGGACGCGGGUUCGACUCCCGCCGCCUCCACCA
rnacentral:tmRNA from 1 species